CGUUAUAACUGGAAAUCUUUCUC
rnacentral:siRNA from 1 species